rnacentral:rRNA from 1 species
AUCACCAGCUAAGGUCCCUAAGCGUGUGCUAAGUGGGAAAGGAUGUGGAGUUGCUGUGACAACCAGGAGGUUGGCUUAGAAGCAGCCACCCUUGAAAGAGUGCGUAAUAGCUCACUGGUCAAGUGAUUCCGCGCCGACAAUGUAACGGGGCUCAAGCACGCCACCGAAGUUGUGGCAUUGACAUUAUUGGUAGGCCUUCGUGGUCCAGCCGUGUUGAUGGGUAGGAGAGCGUCGUGUGGCCAGCGAAGCGGCGGUGUGAACCAGCCGUGGAGGCUACACGAGUGAGAAUGCAGGCAUGAGUAGCGAAAGACGUGUGAGAAACACGUCCUCCGAAAGACCAAGGGUUCCAGGGUCAAGCUAAUCUUCCCUGGGUAAGUCGGGACCUAAGGCGAGGCCGACAGGCGUAGUCGAUGGACAACGGGUUGAUAUUCCCGUACCGGCGAAGAACCGCCCAAACCAAUCCAGUAAUGCUAAGUGUCUGAAUCCCACUGACGGAUCCCUUCGGGGUGAAGCGUUGGGCCUAGCACACGACCCUAUGCUGAGGCGGUUAGCGUAUUAACAGGUGUGACGCAGGAAGGUAGCCCAAGCCAGGCGAUGGUUGUCCUGGUGCAAGUGCGUAGGCCGAGUGAUAGGCAAAUCCGUCACUCAUACAGGCUGAGACACGAUGCGGAUAAAAAGUGGGUGAUCCUAUGCUGCCAAGAAAAGCAUCGACGCGAGGUUCAAGCCGCCCGUACCCCAAACCGACUCAGGUGGUCAGGUAGAGAAUACCAAGGAGAUCGAGAGAAUCGUGGUUAAGGAACUCGGCAAAAUGCCCCCGUAACUUCGGGAGAAGGGGGGCCUUCGACGUAUUAGGACUUGCUCCGAAAGCGUUUGGAGGCCGCAGAGACUAGUGGGUAGCGACUGUUUACUAAAAACACAGGUCCGUGCCAAGUCGCAAGACGAUGUAUACGGACUGACGCCUGCCCGGUGCUGGAAGGUUAAGAGGACCGGUUAGCCGCAAGGCGAAGCUGAGAAUUUAAGCCCCAGUAAACGGCGGUGGUAACUAUAACCAUCCUAAGGUAGCGAAAUUCCUUGUCGGGUAAGUUCCGACCUGCACGAAUGGCGUAACGACUUCCCAACUGUCUCAACCGCGAACUCGGCGAAAUUGCAUUACGAGUAAAGAUGCUCGUUACGCGCAGCAGGACGGAAAGACCCCGUGACCUUUACUACAGCUUGGUAUUGGUGUUCGGUGUGGCUUGUGUAGGAUAGGUGGGAGACUGUGAAGCUGGCACGCUAGUGUCGGUGGAGUCAUUGUUGAAAUACCACUCUGGUCACUCUGGAUAUCUAACUUCGAACCGUAAUCCGGUUCAGGGACAGUGCCUGGUGGGUAGUUUAACUGGGGCGGUUGCCUCCCAAAAAGUAACGGAGGCGCCCAAAGGUUCCCUCAACCUGGUUGGCAAUCAGGUGGCGAGUGUAAGUGCACAAGGGAGCUUGACUGUGAGACUGACAGGUCGAGCAGGGACGAAAGUCGGGACUAGUGAUCCGGCAGUGGCUUGUGGAAGCGCUGUCGCUCAACGGAUAAAAGGUACCUCGGGGAUAACAGGCUGAUCUUGCCCAAGAGUCCAUAUCGACGGCAUGGUUUGGCACCUCGAUGUCGGCUCGUCGCAUCCUGGGGCUGGAGUAGGUCCCAAGGGUUGGGCUGUUCGCCCAUUAAAGCGGUACGCGAGCUGGGUUUAGAACGUCGUGAGACAGUUCGGUCCCUAUCCGCUGCGCGCGUAGGAAGUUUGAGAGGAUCUGACCCUAGUACGAGAGGACCGGGUUGGACGAACCUCUGGUGUGUCAGUUGUUCCGCCAGGAGCACCGCUGAUUAGCUACGUUCGGGAUGGAUAACCGCUGAAAGCAUCUAAGCGGGAAGCCGGCCUCAAGAUGA